UACGGAGGGGACUAGCGUUGUUCGGAAUUACUGGGCGUAAAGCGCACGUAGGCGGUUUUGUAAGUCCGGGGUGAAAUCCCGGGGCUCAACCGCGGAACUGCAUUUGAUACUGCAAAUCUCGAGUCCGGAAGAGGUGAGUGGAAUUCCUAGUGUAGAGGUGAAAUUCGUAGAUAUUAGGAAGAACACCAGUGGCGAAGGCGGCUCACUGGUCCGGUACUGACGCUGAGGUGCGAAAGCGUGGGGAGCAAACAGG
rnacentral:rRNA from 1 species